AUUGAACGCUGGCGGCAGGCUUAACACAUGCAAGUCGAGCGGGGUGAUGGUGCUUGCACUAUCACUUAGCGGCGGACGGGUGAGUAAUGCUUAGGAAUCUGCCUAUUAGUGGGGGACAACACCUCGAAAGGGAUGCUAAUACCGCAUACGUCCUACGGGAGAAAGCAGGGGAUCACUUGUGACCUUGCGCUAAUAGAUGAGCCUAAGUCGGAUUAGCUAGUUGGUGGGGUAAAGGCCUACCAAGGCGACGAUCUGUAGCGGGUCUGAGAGGAUGAUCCGCCACACUGGGACUGGGACACGGCCCAGACUCCUACGGGAGGCAGCAGUGGGGAAUAUUGGACAAUGGGGGGAACCCUGAUCCAGCCAUGCCGCGUGUGUGAAGAAGGCCUUAUGGUUGUAAAGCACUUUAAGCGAGGAGGAGGCUCUUUUGGUUAAUACCCAAGAUGAGUGGACGUUACUCGCAGAAUAAGCACCGGCUAACUCUGUGCCAGCCGCCGCAGUAA
rnacentral:rRNA from 1 species